AUUGAACGCUGGCGGCAGGCUUAACACAUGCAAGUCGAGCGAGCGGCGGACGGGUGAGUAAUGUCUGGGAAACUGCCUGAUGGAGGGGGAUAACUACUGGAAACGGUAGCUAAUACCGCAUACCAUCAGAUGUGCCCAGAUGGGAUUAGCGAGUAGGUGGGGUAAGGGCUCACCUAGGCGACGAUCCCUAGCUGGUCUGAGAGGGUGACCGGCCACACUGGAACUGAGACACGGUCCAGACUCCUACGGGAGGCAGCAGUGGGGAAUCUUGCACAAUGGGCGCAAGCCUGAGAGAGCCAUGCCGCGUGUGUGAAGAAGGCCUUCGGGUUGUAAAGCACUUUCAGUGAGGAAGCGUUACUCACAGAGGAAGCACCGGCUAACUCCGUGCCAGCAGCCGCGGUAAUAC
rnacentral:rRNA from 1 species